CGCACGCAUUAUUGGAAUGGUGGAGGAGGCGAGGGCCCGACGCGUCGACGGAGAAGCUCUGAGCGACGGAGACGAAGAAGCCCUUUUCUCUGCUCCCGGCGGCUGGCUGGCUCACCUCUCCCUCGCUCCUGGUCGUGGCGGUCGUCCCCUCGCUCUUCCUCUCCUCCCGUCGGCAGGUCGUCGCAAAAUGCCCAACAUCAAGAUCUUUUCGGGGUCGUCCCAUCCCGACCUGGCGCAGAGGGUCGUGGAUCGCCUCGGCAUUGAUUUGGGGAAGGUCGUGACCAAGAAGUUUUCCAAUUUGGAGACCUGUGUGGAGAUUGGGGAGAGCGUCCGAGGCGAAGAUGUGUACAUCGUGCAGAGCGGUUGUGGGGAAAUCAACGACAACCUCAUGGAGAUGCUCAUCAUGAUCAACGCGUGCAAAAUUGCCUCUGCGGCCCGAGUAACAGCAGUCAUUCCAUGUUUCCCUUAUGCUAGACAGGACAAGAAGGAUAAGGAACAGGUGGCAUAUAGGCCUCUAUCGCGAGCCCCAAUUUCUGCCAAGCUUGUUGCCAACAUGCUCUCCGUGGCCGGUGCUGACCACAUCAUCACCAUGGACCUCCAUGCCUCUCAGAUCCAAGGCUUCUUUGAUAUUCCUGUUGAUAACCUUUACGCUGAGCCUGCAGUCCUCAAGUGGAUUCGUGAGAACAUACCGGAGUGGGGGAAUUCCAUUAUAGUUUCGCCUGAUGCCGGUGGUGCCAAAAGAGUCACUUCUAUAGCUGACCGGCUUAAUGUAGAGUUUGCCUUGAUUCACAAAGAGCGCAAGAAAGCCAAUGAGGUGGCUUCGAUGGUGCUGGUUGGAGACGUGAAGGACCGCAUUGCCAUCCUGGUUGACGACAUGGCAGACACAUGUGGCACAAUUUGUCAUGCUGCGGAAAAGCUCAUGGAGGCAGGUGCAACCAAAGUGUAUGCCAUUCUUACUCAUGGCAUUUUCUCUGGACCUGCAGUCACUAGGAUCAACAACGCAUGCUUUGAGGCAGUCGUAGUAACCAAUACGAUACCCCAGGAGCAGCACAUGAAGGAGUCUAAUAAAAUCCAGUUGAUUGACGUGUCCAACAUUUUGGCCGAGGCAAUCCGUAGGACCCACAAUGGAGAAUCCGUCUCCUUCCUGUUCAACUCUGUCCCUCUCUAGAUGCUGGUUGAUGUUUGAUGAUGGGUGCUACAGUUGAUGAGUUGAUGGUGAUGAUGAUGAGUCAGAUAGGUGUAUUGACAUCUCCUUGGUGUUUGCCGAAGCAAUACGGAGGACACACAACGGAGAGAGCGUUUCGUACUUGUUUAGCAAUGUUCCAUAUCACUAGGACUCAUCGUUGUACAUAACUACUUGUGUGGUCAAAGCACCGUUGUACCAUCAUGCUGAAUAUGUUUAUUAGUGUUUGAGUGUGAAUGGUACAGGUGCCUAAAAUAUGUCUCUUUUUUUUCUUUUUUUUCUCCUCACAUGUGAAUUAUAUACAAGAUAUGUAAAUGAAAAAGAAAAAAAUUUAAAAAUGAGUAUAGGAAAACAGAAUAGGAAUCCCAUCUCCCAUUGGCGUAUGUAGGAGUGCCUAUUUUUAUACCGCAUCAGGCCUGUGAGUAAUAUAUAUUAAUGGAAUGUAAUGCCUUAUACUAAUUGAUUAAUAAUUAAUCACACCCAUUUCUCUCCCUUGACGCAAAUGCAAAGGGACAAGUUAAAGAAAUAAAAUAUCUUUUGUUAUAUUGUCUAAAUAUGUUUUGAGAGCAUAUAUAUAUUUUCAAUAAAUUUCCCAAAUUUUUGUAUUUCGAAGAUAUUGACUUGCUGCCCUGUCCUUAUCCGAGUGUGCUUGGUUCCAGAAGGUGAAAAUUUAUGGUGGUGUGAGUGUGGGUCUCCUGGAGCACUUAGUUGCUGUUGCUAUGGUGGAUAAAAUGUGGAUGAUAAGUAAGAAUGAUGAUCUUAGAAGCAUGCAUGUACACUUGCCUUUCAAUACACAUGCAUACAAUAUACUCAGGCACACACACUGACAUCAUUUGGCACAAGCAUGCAUACAUUCUCUUGCACCCACACACACUUGCAUGUGUCCCCACAGAUGAACAUAUGUCUCUCCACAGUUGCAUGCACAUGUCUCCACACGUAUCUUUACAGAUGCAUGUGUUACAGACGCAUGCAUGUGGAGAGGCACACACAUGCAUCUCUACAGGCACACUUACGUCUUCAUGGCCAUUCUUGGAGAUGUGUGUUUUAUUAUGUAGGCACAUGCAUACAUCCCCCCCAUACACAAACAGGCAUGCCAAGCAUGAAACUGCAGGCAAACACAUGCUUUCUCAUUGAUAUGCUCCUCACUGGCACAUGCAUGCUGGCUGGCACUUGCACACACACUUGCUAGCACAUACAUGCCCACCCAUUAACACUUGCCUACAGUUACGUGCAUGCACACCGGCAGACGCAUUACCUGUAUGUUCACACCUGUAGACUCGCAGAGAACAUGCAUACAUGUAUAAUAGGCACUCACAUGCAAGAGAGGAAGAGAGGGAGUGAGCUUAUGCAUGCAUGUAGAGCUGCACAGGUACACAUGGGGAUGUAGAGCUGUACAUGGAAGCACAUAGUGUUGCUCAUGCACAUGCACACAUGUAGAGCUGCACAUGUACAGGCACAGGCACAUGCACGCAUUUAGAGCUGCACAAGCACAAGCACAUGCACGCAUUUAGAGCUGCACAAGCACAAGCACAAGCACAUGCACAUGCACAUGCACGCAUGUAGAGCUACAUAUGCACAUGCACGCAUGUAGAGCUACAUAAGCACAUGCACGCAUGCAGAGCAACACAGGCACAUACAAGCUUGUGGACCUGCAGAGGCACACUAAGGCAUGUAGAGAUGCAUUGGCACAGACAGGAAAGUAGAGGUGCACAUACAAGCAUGUGGGGGUACACCAGCACAUUUAGGUAUAUAGACAGAGGUGCACAGCUCACGCAGGCAUAUGAAGAAGCACAGUCAUAUGCUGGCAUAUAGAAAUGCACAGGGAUAUGCUUUCACACAAAAUUUGGACAUCCUCACAUAUAGGCAGGGAAACACUUGUAUAUGUAUGCAUGCAUGUAUGCACACAGAAUAUGCUCACAGGUAAAUGCCCACAAUGUCUAUACACAGGUGUAUGCACAUACAUAAUUAUUCAUACAGAUGCAUAUUCAUGUAUGCACAUAGCACAUGGAUGCAUACACUUAUUCACAAUCACGCAUGCAUAUAAACAUGACCACAUAGAUGCACACACAUAUUCACAGUUUCUGAUCUAUAUACACACAUAAGUACAUAGAUACAUACAAAUACAUAUUCACACACGUACUCUCAUGUAUGCAUGCAGAUGCACACAUGAUUGUAUACAAAGCUACAGGUGUAUCCAUGUAUGUGUGUGCACACAUGCCUGUACCUUCCAUGCUUACAAGUCCAUGCAUGCACACAGAUACAUGCUUAUAUUUCUAAAUACACACAGGCAUGUUUGUGCAUAUACACAUACAAAUAUUGACAUACACGAGUUAAAUAUACAAUUACUUGGAGUGGCUUUGAGAGUGGCUGUGUAUGUGAAAGUAUGGUUGCAUGUGUGUGUGUUUUGUGUGUGUGUGUGUGCAUGUGUGUGUACCCAGUUGAGUGUGAGAAUAUAGAGUAUAUGUAAAUUUGACAAUAUGGCUUAUGUGUAUACUGAUUUAGUGUACUUAAGAUUCAAGCUGUGUGCAUGUUGAGGGUAGAAAGUACCUCUGAAAGAGUGGAUGGGGGAAAUGCUAACGGAAAAGAAAGUUUAAAUAUGGGGAGCAGUUUGUCACCUGUUACUACGCAAAGGCAUAAUACCCCAAGAUCUGAGAGAAUUAUGGGUUUUGGGCUUCAUUUAUUUUUUUGUUUUGGGGGUUAUCCUUAAAAAAAAAAAAAAAAAAAAAAAAAAAUGGUAGGGUAGUUUUUCAGUGAUGAAAUUUACAUUUACUGCAAAUUUAUAAAUGGUAGAUGUCUUCAGCUGAAAACAGAGCUUAAAAUACUUUAGUUAUUUAAAAUGAACUUAUAUUUGGGGUAUGCAGGAUACUAAGAUGAAAGUAUUCAGAAAUUUGUUUAAGUAAUGGUAUGUUGUUAGCACGAGUGAAAUGAAACUAUUAUUUGAGUAUAUCGUCUCGCCAAUUUGAGUGAAUGAUGCGAAAAUGUGGAUGAAAAUGAAGUUGUACCUGUUUUUUAUUGUCUGUCGCUGCACAGGUUAGCCUAGCAUUGUUGGAUUUGUCAUUCCUGUAGGUUUGUUAUAGGUGAUAUUGUCCGUUUCCCAGGAUACUGGUUACAAAAGACACGGUAGAUGUAACAUGUAAUGAAGGAUGAUCAUAGUUUGUAUUAUUUGUCUUUCUGAACUCUAUGAAAAUAUUAAUUUUUUUUUGGUUUUUAAGAUGAAUAUUAAAAGUAUUUAUAAUAUAGCUCUUAAGAUGUUUAAUGAACUUGUCAUCAGUGAAUGCUUAUAAUAAAUAAAGAGUAUUGCCUUGAUAAAGACUGAUAUAUAUAGUCAUGAUGGACUCUCAUCGUAAUGUAUUAUGACUUCACGUAAAAUUCACAGUUGCUCAAUUGAAGUUCUUCUUGAACAUGAAAGAACAAAGCCGGUGAAUAUUGUUAAAGGAUUUCCAUUAAAAGUUUAAGAUUUUUUGAUGUUUUCAUUUAUAAAGCUUUAGUUGUCUAUGAACAGGAAGGACUUUUCAUUGUGGCUUCAGGGUGGAAAUGCACUGUAGACUUCACGGAAAAUGGUACGAGUUAUUCUUUAAGCAAGUUCUAUUAAAAUGAGAUGAUUUAUGAAUUUGAAUGUAGAUCAUUUUCCUUUGCAAUCAGUAUUGAAAUUGGAAUAAUUUGAUAUUUUAAAGUGUUAUUUUUAUGGUUAUGUAUAAUUAAAAGAAUUCUAAGAAAUUUGACCAUAGAGAUAUGAAUAAGUAAAUUCUCUUCUAGAAUUAAGUCAUACAUUUCCUGAGUGAGAGAACUACUGAGAAUUGGAUGUUGUAUCUUCAGCUGAAGAUGUUAUCUCAUUGGUGAUGUAUUUUACACAACCUGGAAAGAUAUGUUACAUCAUAA